UACGAAGGUGGCUAGCGUUGUUCGGAUUUAUUGGGCGUAAAGGGUCCGCAGGCGGUUUGAUAAGUCAGGUGUGAAAUCCAACAGCUUAACUGUUGACACGCAUUUGAUACUGUCAGACUAGAGUAUGAGAGGGGUGAGAGGAAUUUCCAGUGUAGGGGUGAAAUCCGUAGAUAUUGGAAAGAACACCGGCCGCGAAGGCGUUUCACUGGCUUAUUACUGACGCUCAGGGACGAAAGCUAGGGGAGCAAACGGG
rnacentral:rRNA from 1 species